GUGACCGCCGCGGUCCAAUUAGUGGUGCUUUUAAGCCGAUAUCAGGAAGUAGCCAGGAGACAGGACAUGAGAGAUCGAUUACAUUUCUGCUCCAGAGCCGACUUCCAGCGCUGGGUUCUUUGUCAUGAAGCUGUGUUUGACUGUAGAAGCUCAAUUGGUGGUGUUUGUAACUCCCAAGUGUUUGUGGAACACGGCCUCCCAGCAUGAUGUGAGGAGGAUGGUGCUAAGGUGAAGAGAAGUAAGGCUGUGUGCUCUACAUGCGGGACUAUAAUAUUGCUAAAUAUUGGUA